rnacentral:lncRNA from 1 species
GCCCGAUUCAGUGGGUAUAUAUCAAUCUGACGCGACUGAGAAGAAGCUACCGACCAUUGAGGUCGGUUAAGGUGUCGAUUGGCCAUUGCCUGGCCAUGGAAAGAGCUUCAAAAGAAGCCAAUCUUGAUGUUGUUCCAGGAAGGGAUAAUGAAGGAGGAUUAGCUUUAAGAGCUAAUGGCUGCUAGGCUUGGUGUUGUCAAAAAGUUUCAAAGAAGGUUACAAAGAAGGAGAAGUCAAGGAAAGCUUCUGGAGCUAAAGAAGGGUGUGUACAAACCUCCAAGAUUGGCUCUCAUUCAACUUUCAAGCCAAACUUGAGGGGGAGAAAAGUGUAAACAACCCUCAGGGAGCCCUAGAAGAUCUUUAAAGAAGCGAAUAAUCAAGGAAGCUUCAAAGAAGGUCUCAUUCAAGAUUUGCAACCAUUUUGUGUCCAAGCAAACUUGAAGAGAAGAAAUGUUCUAUAUCUCUCUCAAGUUUCAAAGGAAGCUACAAAGAAGAUAGAAGAAGCAAAACAAGCGUGUGGAGUUUAGAGCCGGCUAUAACCAAGCGAGAAGCAAGACCAUUUGAUGGGACCAACCACAGUACUAAAACUCCCAUGGUAUAAAGGAUGACCCGAUGGAAGAAUGUAGAUGUCUGUUUCAAGCGUGGUGAACCUAUUCAAGCUGACCAAGAGAGAUAAAUUUAGAUUGAAGGACUAGUGGAGAUGCAAGGCUGGUGGUAAACUGGUGGAUAAUCUCUAUCACGUUUUGGUGCUUAUAUGCAAUGAGGAGCUGUGAAAAAAAAAAAAAAAACUCUAGUGAUUCUACAUGGGAGCUGGUAGAGAAGAAGUUUCCAAGUCAACCAUGAAGCUCAUCCAAAUUGGGAUGUAGAAGAGGUGGAUUGAGUUCUAGCUAGUAAGUCAUCAACCAUGAAGAGGAGUCCAAUAAGGCAGAGACUCAAAUGGUGGUGCAAAACAAAUCUCAACCAACACAUUACAACAAUGAAGACAAAAAGGCUAUCUCUAAACCCUUAACUCUUUCAAUAUCUUUAAUUCAUUGCUCAUAUUUAAUUCAGAUUAGUCAAUCAUUUAAAGUAAAUUUGUCAUGCUUAGAAUCUGAAUUUAGAAUGGUUUUUUAAGGAUUUAUUUUUAGAGAAAUGUCUUAAAUUAAUUUGGACUAUCAUGCUUAAUUUUUCAUAUUUAAAACCUGUUUUUAGGAAUUAAGUUCAUGGGUAAGAUAUGAGGUUUAUCUUGUUGAAAUAUGGAUUUAUAAGCUGAAUAUUAAACCGGUUGUGACAUGUUAAAUUGAAUUUGCAUGUUUAAAAUAUGUUUUAUAUUCUUGUGUUAAAUUGAGCUUAGCAAGAGACUAGUUGAAUUGAAGUUUGUUCUCUUUUGUCUCAAUCUAGCUUAAUGUUAUUCUUGUGGCCAAUAUACUUAAGAUUUCUUUACAUUUUUUGGUUGAAGGUCUAAAAGAGAAAGAAAGCCAUCCAAAAGCUAAAUGAGAAGAAGAGAACCGGACGGAUCAUUCAAGCUUGACUCAAGGAAGAUCAAUUCAUGGUGGUGACCGAGAGAGAAGGCCCUCAAGCUAGUACACACACGGAGGAUUAGAGUCUCAACAAGAAGUCAAAGCAAGAAGCCAAAGAGGUCUCACAUUCAAACCAUGGUCAUAGCUACAUAAUUCAACGGUGAAGACUAUACUCUUUUUCCCUAAACAAAGUUUUGUCCCAAGAAGUUUUCUUUGUUAAGGUUUUUAAUGAGGUAGUUAUUAGCGUGUUGCAAACUUGGCCUUUGGUUCCCGCUGCCCAAGCUUGAGGAGGAGUAUUAGAGAGGAAGAAGAGAAAGGAUAACCUAAGGCCGAAGUCUAGAAGACGAGGCCGAGCUUAAUGGUGCUCAAUGAAGUGAGACACUCAACUAGGCUCGUACAUCUCCAAGAUUAAUUUCCGAUGUCUCUACACUUAAGCUUGAAGGGGAUUAUUGAGUAUGUCAAGAUAAAAUAGACCAUUAUGUUCUACAUUAUAUUGGUCUAUUCUAUAUUAACUAAGUUAGGAUAGUAUAGACCAUUAAGCUCGUCUCUACAUUGGUCUAUACUAUACAUACGGGUUAUGUUAAGGCAAAAUAGAUUAGCA